UCCAGGUACAACGUCGACUAAAUCUAUCUCUGUAAAUAUUGCCAAUGUUAAAUUUGAUAUUAACAGAGAUGGCCAACAGGAGAUUGAUGUUACAAUAUGUAAAAGUAACUUUAUAUGCGACAAUGUUUGAAGGAGGAAAAAAUACAAAUACAGCAAAGACAGCUGAAAAUACAGCUUCGUCGAUCUCAGAAAAUAGAAAUAAAUUUCGAAGAAUUGAAGGUGAUGAUGCAAAGACCGAUGUAAAGCAAGAUUCAGAGAAUCUGAAGAAAGACUCAAUGCCAGAAUUUCCAGCGAUUAAGACUUCUAGUACAAUAGUAGAUACAUUACAUAUUUCCAACGCUUUUAAUGCUCUAACAUUGUCAAAUAAUAAAUACGUAAAAACUGCACAAACACUUGAACCAGUUUCACGUGCAUGCCAAGAAGAAUGGACCGAUAAAUGGAAUAACCUUGAAUUUCCAGCUCCCAAAUCGUCAAUUUUAACACCAGUUACUUUUAGUUUAUCUAAAAAACAAUAUUCAUUUGGUGACACAAGUACGAGUCAGUUUCUUGGUUCUCCAACGUCAGAAAGUAAAGAGUCAGCGCGUGAUAACGCAGAGGGUAGAUCUACGCCUUUCUGUUGGAAAGCAACAACGACAACAACAUUAUCAAGUCCAGCAUUCCAAGUACCUACUGCAGCACAAACUUUGCAUAAAUCUGGAACAUCCAAAUCAUCAAUUUUAAAACCACCUACUUUUAAUUUAUCUAAAAAACAAUAUUCAUUUGGUGACACAAGUACGAGCCAGUUUCUUUGUUCUCCAACGUCAAAAAGUUAAGAGUCAGCGUGUGAUAACGCAGAAAGUAGAUCUACGCCUUUCUGGUGGAAAUCAACAACGACAACAACAUUAUCAAGUCCAGCAUUCCAAGUACCUAAUGCAUCACAAACUUUGCAUAAUUCUGGAACACCCGAAUCAUCGAUUUUGGUACCAACUACUUUUAGUUUAUCUAAUAAACAAUGUGAAUUUGGUGGCGCAAUUUCACGUAAAUCUUGCACUUCUCCGGUGCUAGAAAAUAAACCUGCAGCUUGCGAUUCAACACCAACAAACCAAAAAGAAACAACAUAUAAUACAACACUCGGGAUGCCAACUGUACGUGGCACAUUGUCAGUGAAAUCAGUAGUAUCUGGUGAUAGUACUGUUAGAACGUCUACCGGCGAGUCAACGUCUCUUAUACGUGUACAUCAAAAAUUUAUAUUUAACGCCAUUUCUACUGAACCGGCUGUAAUGCCUGGGACUCGAUUCAAUUUUCCUACGAAUAUGAUACCUCCUGUAUCGACUCAGAUUCAAAUAUCGAUUGAUUCCACCGAUUAUACAUUUAACGGACCUAAUCCGGAACUAGCAGCAUUUCCGCAAUGUCCAACUACAAGUUCAUUUUCUAUAUCGCAACCUGUUACCCAAAGUCAACAAUUGUCUACUUCAUCAUCUAUUCCUCUAGAAUGCGCGUUUAAUUUUGAUUCGUCACCAGGAGAUCAUACAGCUGAACCUGGUUCAAUCCAGUCCGAAGGAUUUAAUUUUAAUCCCAAUACUAGACCAUCGUUCCGUUUUAGUGUUUAUGAAUUUAAGUAUCUACAAAAUAUAAAAUUAUUUUACACAUUAAUAGCAGGAUCUUUUUUCCAUAAAAAAAUGUGUUGCCAUGUGUUGUUUUAGUGCACCUACUCAAGUACAACGAGAUACUGCGUCUACUCGAGUACAACGAAAUACUGCGUCUACUCUAGUACAACAAAAUACUGCCACCAUCAAUUACCGCCCAAUGAUCAGUCCCACUCGAUUACUCAAUCCACGAAAGAUCAGGAAAGCUUUUAGAAGAUUAAAAUAGGAGUCAAGUAACGGCAUUCUUUUUAUACAGUUGCUCAUGAAGGUAUUCAUAUUCUUGCAGAAGACACCUUUUAUGAAUAUACUAUAUGUCUUGAAAGAAACAUUUUGAAAUGUCAUUAGUAUUGUAACAAAAUCCGAUUGUCAUAGCUAUAUUGGUAAAGUUUUUAGCAAAUCUGAAAAUAUACAUAGAUAUUACAAAACACCUAACACAAGUAUGCAGAUAUUUUGUAGAAAUCAAUAAAGUAUUUAAACAGUCAUUUAACAUUUCAUCAAACAUUUUACAUAUGUAUGAAAUAAGCCUAAAUAUUUACUGGAACCACUUUUGAGAUUUUUUCUAGGCAUACCAAGGAGGCUAUUAAUGCUGUGUGCUAAUCUUUAUUAAAUAUAUGUUUGUAAAUAACUUUUAUGUAUAUUUUCAGAUUGGUUUUUGGCUUUUCUAUCAUAAAAAUAGUAGUUGCAAAAUACUUUUAUGAGCCAUUGUAUCUAUUUCAUACAAUCGUGAGAAAACAAGUCGAAGACGCUUCGUUUUCGAAGAAAAAAGAAAAAAGAAAAAAGAAACGAUUUUGAACAUUUUCUCGAUGCUGCUAUACGCACAUACUCUUUAUGAUAUAUCAAUUCUUGGAUCAAUAACGAACUUUCAUUAUUGAUGAGCUGCUGCUAGUGGAUGAGGAAACUUAAUAAAAUAUCGAAUGUCUGCAAUUUAUUGAGAAUAACGAGUUUAUGUGGGUAACAGAUAUAUCCUUUCAUUAAGCAUAGGUCUUAUAUAACUCGUUUAUAGUUGAGAAGGAAAAUACUAAUCAGUACUAAUUAAAUUCAUGAAUUAAUAACUUUUUUUUUGUAACGAAAGAAAUGUUGCGAUGCAUAAUGUACAAUGUAUUGAAUUUGCUUCAUACAUUUAAUUGAUUCUGAACAAUUAUCUUUGCUUCAUUAUUUUUGAAUAAAUUCAGUAUUUACAACUUAAUAAUUGUAAUAAAAUUAUAUCAUUCAGAUAAUAAGAAAACGCGUAAUAAUAAUUAUUACGAUGCAAAAAAAAAUAAUAAUAAUAAUAAG